CAAUAGCGUAUAUUAAAGUUGUUGCAGUUAAAGGCUCGUAGUUGGAUUUCUGGUGGGAGCGAUCGGUCUGGCGCUUAGCGCGAGUACUUGCAUCGUCUCCGGCCAUCCUUGGGGAGAGUCUGUCUGGCAUUAGGUUGUCGGGCAGAGGAUCCUCAUCGUUUACUGUGAAAAAAUUAGAGUGUUCAAAGCAGGCUUAUGCCGUUGAAUAUAUUAGCAUGGAAUAAUAAGAUAGGACUUUGGUACUAUUUUGUUGGUUUGCGCACCAAAGUAAUGAUUAAUAGGGACAGUUGGGGGUAUUCGUAUUCCGUUGUCAGAGGUGAAAUUCUUGGAUUUACGGAAGACGAACUACUGCGAAAGCAUUUACCAAGGAUGUUUUCAUUAA
rnacentral:rRNA from 1 species